GAAAUACUAAAUGGGCAUCAUUAGUAGAUGUUUUUUAUAUAUCUAAGGACUUAGAAACUAUUUUCUUAGAAGAAUUAUUUUCCACAUUUGAAGUGCAUGAAUCGAGAUGUGCAGGUACGAAGGAGACAAAGUACAACAUCACCCUAAAGGCAUCGAGAGACGAACCGGAGUCAGAAUCCUUUCUCGACGAUGAAGAAAUGAUAAUGAUGACUAUUCAACCCCCUUCUAGCCGGCCAACGCGGUCCAACAAUGCCAACUUGCCAAGGAUUAUUUUUGUGUGAUUCUGGCUUCCUUUGGCUUCUAGUCACUUCCCUCAUUGGAUAUCAAUAAUGCCUUCAUGAGAAUCUUAAGGAAGAGG